AGUGCUACCAAGGCGAGAAUUUUUACCACAAUGGGGGAAACCCUGAUGGAGCGACGCCGCGUGGAGGAUGAAGGCGUUUUCGUCGUAAACUCCUGUCAAACGGGAACAAGAAAGUGAUAGUACCGUUAGAGGAAGAGGCGGCUAACUCUGUGCCAGCAGCCGCGGUAAUACAGAGGCCUCAAGCGUUGUUCGGAUUCAUUGGGCGUAAAGGGUGCGUAGGUGGCUUGGUAAGUUGAAGGUGAAAUCUCGGGGCUUAACUCCGAAACUGCCUUCAAUACUG
rnacentral:rRNA from 1 species